AAAUAUUCACCUCAAAAUUAAAAAAAAUAAUAAUUCAACACAAAAACACACUUGAUCAACCAGUGUACUGAGGUGAUGCUAGUCUUCUUUUGAGAUUUAUGAUGUGCUUUGUUUGUUAUUGACACUCCCUUGACCCAAAAAAAGAGGAGAAAACAAAAAAAUCAAAACCCAAAACCAUUUUAGCUCUGGAUAAAGAAAAAUUGAAAGAGUUGGAGAAGCAUAAUCUUUGCAAUCCAUAUUGAUUCAUUUAAGCCAACCUAAUGUUACAUCAUAGAAGAGAGCAUGCACCAAAUAUUCGAUAUUUGUCCAAUAUUAAAUGUUAAAUAUUCUCUGACCAACUUGGCAUGUACGACAUUGCUAUCACUCACAUCAGUUCGAUUAAACUUGUAUGUAUAAACCUAAAUGUAAAUAAUAGCUUAUCACUAAAAUUUUGCUUCUAAUGAAAAAAAUUUGGAAAAGUCUUGAAA